GACGGGACCGCACAAGCGGUGAUGAUGUGGUUAAUUCGAUGCAACGCGAAAACCUUACCCACCUUUGACAUGUACGGAAUUCUUCAGAGAUGAAGGAGUGCUCGAAAGAGAACCGUAACACAGGUGCUGCAUGGCUGUCGUCAGCUCGUGUCGUGAGAUGUUGGGUUAAGUCCCGCAACGAGCGCAACCCUUGUCAUUAGUUGCUACAUUCAGUUGGGCACUCUAAUGAGACUGCCGGUGACAAACCGGAGGAAGGUGGGGAUGACGUCAAGUCCUCAUGGCCCUUAUAGGUGGGGCUACACACGUCAUACAAUGGAUGGUACAAAGGGUCGCCAACCCGCGAGGGGGAGCCAAUCCCAUAAAGCCAUUCGUAGUCCGGAUCGCAGUCUGCAACUCGACUGCGUGAAGUCGGAAUCGCUAGUAAUCGUGGAUCAGAAUGUCACGGUGAAUACGUUCCCGGGUCUU
rnacentral:rRNA from 1 species